rnacentral:snoRNA from 1 species
AGAAGUCCAAUUUUUAAAAAUUGGAAAGAGGCCUCGUGGUACUUACCAGAAGUUAAGCCCAGGCCUUGUGCCUGGUCUGUAUUGUGAAUGGGAAGACAUGC